GCGGUGGAUGAUGUGGUUUAAUUCGAUGCAACGCGAAAACCUUACCCACCUUUGACAUGGCAGGAAUCCCGAAGAGAUUUGGGAGUGCUCGAAAGAGAACCUGCACACAGGUGCUGCAUGGCUGUCGUCAGCUCGUGUCGUGAGAUGUUGGGUUAAGUCCCGCAACGAGCGCAACCCUUGCCAUUAGUUGCUACGAAAGGGCACUCUAAUGGGACUGCCGGUGACAAACCGGAGGAAGGUGGGGAUGACGUCAAGUCCUCAUGGCCCUUAUAGGUGGGGCUACACACGUCAUACAAUGGCCGGUACAGAGGGUAGCCAACCCGCGAGGGGGAGCCAAUCCCACAAAGCCGAUCGUAGUCCGGAUCGCAGUCUGCAACUCGACUGCGUGAAGUCGGAAUCGCUAGUAAUCGUGGAUCAGCAUGUCACGGUGAAUACGUUCCCGGGUCUU
rnacentral:rRNA from 1 species